rnacentral:rRNA from 1 species
GACGAACGCUGGCGGCGUGCCUAAUACAUGCAAGUCGAGCGGAAGUUGGAGAGCUUGCUCUUCAACUUUAGCGGCGGACGGGUGAGUAACACGUGGGCAACCUGCCCUGCAGAUCGGAAUAACUCCGGGAAACCGGUGCUAAUACCGAAUAGUUUUCGCCACCUCCUGGUGGCGUACGGAAAGACGGUUUCGGCUGUCACUGCAGGAUGGGCCCGCGGCGCAUUAGCUAGUUGGUGGGGUAACGGCCCACCAAGGCGACGAUGCGUAGCCGACCUGAGAGGGUGAUCGGCCACACUGGGACUGAGACACGGCCCAGACUCCUACGGGAGGCAGCAGUAGGGAAUCUUCCGCAAUGGACGAAAGUCUGACGGAGCAACGCCGCGUGAGUGACGAAGGUUUUCGGAUCGUAAACUCUGUUGUGAGGGAAGAACAAGUACCACUUAACUACUGGUACCUUGACGGUACCUCACCAGAAAGCCACGGCUAACUACGUGCCAGCCGCCGCCGUAA